rnacentral:rRNA from 1 species
UACGUAGGGUGCGAGCGUUGUCCGGAUUUAUUGGGCGUAAAGAGCGUGUAGGCGGCCGUACAGGUCAGCUGUGAAAACUCGAGGCUCAACCUCGAGACGUCGGUUGAAACCGUACGGCUAGAGUCCGGAAGAGGAGAGUGGAAUUCCCGGUGUAGCGGUGAAAUGCGCAGAUAUCGGGAAGAACACCCGUGGCGAAGGCGGCUCUCUGGGACGGUACUGACGCUGAGACGCGAAAGCGUGGGGAGCAAACAGG